GGUUAAGCGAAUAAGCGUACACGGUGGAUGCCUAGGCAAUCAGAGGCGAUGAAGGACGUGCUAAUCUGCGAUAAGCGUCGGUAAGGUGAUAUGAACCGUUAUACCCGACGAUUUCCGAAUGGGGAAACCCAAUAUCCAAUGGAUAUUAUCAUUAACUGAAUACAUAGGUUAAUGAAGCGAACCGGGAGAACUGAAACAUCUCAGUACCCCGAGGAAAAGAAAUCAACCGAGAUUCCCCUAGUAGCGGCGAGCGAACGGGGAACAGCCCAGAGUCUUAAUCAAUAGCAGCAUCAGGAGAACGGUCUGGAAAGUCCGGCAGUAAAGGGUGAUAGCCCCGUAUCCGAAGAUGCUGUUAUUGUGAACUCGACGAGUAGGGCGGGACACGUGUUAUCCUGUCUGAAUAUGGGGGGACCAUCCUCCAAGGCUAAAUACUCCUGAUUGACCGAUAGUGAACCAGUACCGUGAGGGAAAGGCGAAAAGAACCCCGGCGAGGGGAGUGAAAAAGAACCUGAAACCGUGUACGUACAAGCAGUAGGAGCCUCUUUAUGGGGUGACUGCGUACCUUUUGUAUAAUGGGUCAGCGACUUAUAUUCUGUAGCGAGGUUAACCGUAUAGGGGAGCCGUAGGGAAACCGAGUCUUAACUGGGCGAAUGAGUUGCAGGGUAUAGACCCGAAACCCGGUGAUCUAUCCAUGGGCAGGUUGAAGGUUGGGUAACACUAACUGGAGGACCGAACCGACUAAUGUUGAAAAAUUAGCGGAUGACUUGUGGAUGGGGGUGAAAGGCCAAUCAAACCGGGAGAUAGCUGGUUCUCCCCGAAAGCUAUUUAGGUAGCGCCUCGUGAACUCAUCUUCGGGGGUAGAGCACUGUUUCGACUAGGGGGUCAUCCCGACUUACCAACUCGAUGCAAACUGCGAAUACCGAAGAAUGUUAUCACGGGAGACACACGGCGGGUGCUAACGUCCGUCGUGAAGAGGGAAACAACCCAGACCGCCAGCUAAGGUCCCAAAGUCAUGGUUAAGUGGGAAACGAAGUGGGAAGGCUCAGACAGCCAGGAUGUUGGCUUAGAAGCAGCCAUCAUUUAAAGAAAGCGUAAUAGCUCACUGGUCGAGUCGGCCCGCGCGGAAGAUGUAACGGGGCUAAACCAUGCACCGAAGCUGCGGCAGCAACACUAAGUGUUGUUGGGUAGGGGAGCGUUCUGUAAGCCUGCGAAGGUGUACUGUGAGGUAUGCUGGAGGUAUCAGAAGUGCGAAUGCUGACAUAAGUAACGAUAAUGCGGGUGAAAAACCCGCACGCCGGAAGACCAAGGGUUCCUGUCCAACGUUAAUCGGGGCAGGGUGAGUCGACCCCUAAGGCGAGGCUGAAAAGCGUAGUCGAUGGGAAACGGGUUAAUAUUCCCGUACUGGUGGUAACUGCGAUGGGGGAACGGAGAAGGCUAGGUUGUCCGGGCGACGGUCGUCCCGGUUCAAGCAUGUAGGCAGAGUGAUUAGGCAAAUCCGGUCACUUAAUGCUGAGGUGUGAUGACGAACCACUAAGGUGGUGAAGCAAUUGAUGCCCUGCUUCCAGGAAAAGCCUCUAAGCUUCAGGUUACCAACAAUCGUACCCCAAACCGACACAGGUGGUCAGGUAGAGAAUACUCAGGCGCUUGAGAGAACUCGGGUGAAGGAACUAGGCAAAAUGGUGCCGUAACUUCGGGAGAAGGCACGCUGGCGGUAAGUGAAGUCCCUUGCGGACGGAGCCGAAGCCAGUCGAAGAUACCAGCUGGCUGCAACUGUUUAUUAAAAACACAGCACUGUGCAAACACGAAAGUGGACGUAUACGGUGUGACGCCUGCCCGGUGCUGGAAGGUUAAUUGAUGGGGUUAUCCUUAGGGAGAAGCUCUUGAUCGAAGCCCCAGUAAACGGCGGCCGUAACUAUAACGGUCCUAAGGUAGCGAAAUUCCUUGUCGGGUAAGUUCCGACCUGCACGAAUGGCGUAAUGAUGGCCAGGCUGUCUCCACCCGAGACUCAGUGAAAUUGAACUCGCUGUGAAGAUGCAGUGUACCCGCGGCAAGACGGAAAGACCCCGUGAACCUUUACUAUAGCUUGACACUGAACAUUGAGCCUUGAUGUGUAGGAUAGGUGGGAGACUAUGAAGUGUGGACGCCAGUCUGCAUGGAGUCAACCUUGAAAUACCACCCUUUAACGUUUGAUGUUCUAACCUAGGCCCAUAAUCUGGGUCGGGGACCGUGUCUGGUGGGUAGUUUGACUGGGGCGGUCUCCUCCUAAAGAGUAACGGAGGAGCACGAAGGUUGGCUAAGCAUGGUCGGACAUCAUGCGGUUAGUGCAAAGGCAUAAGCCAGCUUGACUGUGAGAGUGACGGCUCGAGCAGGUACGAAAGUAGGUCUUAGUGAUCCGGUGGUUCUGAAUGGAAGGGCCAUCGCUCAACGGAUAAAAGGUACUCCGGGGAUAACAGGCUGAUACCGCCCAAGAGUUCAUAUCGACGGCGGUGUUUGGCACCUCGAUGUCGGCUCAUCACAUCCUGGGGCUGAAGUAGGUCCCAAGGGUAUGGCUGUUCGCCAUUUAAAGUGGUACGCGAGCUGGGUUUAGAACGUCGUGAGACAGUUCGGUCCCUAUCUGCCGUGGGCGUUGGAAGAUUGAGAGGGGUUGCUCCUAGUACGAGAGGACCGGAGUGAACGCACCACUGGUGUUCGGGUUGUCAUGCCAAUGGCAUUGCCCGGUAGCUAAGUGCGGAAGAGAUAACCGCUGAAAGCAUCUAAGCGGGAAACUUGCCUCGAGAUGAGUCUUCCCUGUCACCUAGAGUGACCUAAAGGAACGUUUAAGACUAAGACGUUGAUAGGCUGGGUGUGUAAGCGUAGCGAUACGUUGAGCUAACCAGUACUAAUGAACCGUGAGGCUUAACCUG
rnacentral:rRNA from 1 species